GUGCCAGCCGCCGCGGUAAUACGGAAGAUGCGAGCGUUAUCCGGAUUUAUUGGGUUUAAAGGGAGCGUAGGCGGGCUGUUAACAGCGGUCAAAUGUCAUGGCCCAACCUUGGCAUGCCGUUGGAACUGGCGGUCUUGAAUACACACAAGGGCGGUGGAAUUCGUUGUGUAGCGGUGAAAUGCUUAGAUAUGACGAAGAACUCCGAUUGCGAAGGCAGCCGCCUGGGGUGCGAUUGACGCUGAGGCUCGAAAGUGCGGGUAUCGAACAGGAUUAGAUACCCUGGUAGUCCGCACAGUAAACGAUGGAUGCUCGUUAUGGGCGAUAUACAGUCCGUGACCGAGGGAAACCAUUAAGCAUCCCACCUGGGGAGUACGCCGGCAACGGUGAAACUCAAAGGAAUUGUCGGGGGCCCGCACAAGCGGAGGAACAUGUGGUUUAAUUCGAUGAUACGCGAGGAACCUUACCCGGGCUUGAAAUGUACCUGACGUGGGUCAGAGAUGUCCCAUUCCUUCGGGCAGGUAUGUAGGUGCUGCGUGGUUGUCGUCAGCUCGUGCCGUGAGGUGUCGGCUUAAGUGCCAUAACGAGCGCAACCCUUGCUGCCAGUUGCCAUCAUGUAGUGGUGGGCACUCUGGCGGGACUGCCAUCGCAAGAUGUGAGGAAGGUGGGGAUGACGUCAAAUCAGCACGGCCCUUACGUCCGGGGCUACACACGUGUUACAAUGGGGGGCACAGCGCGCCGCUACCUGGUGACAGGAUGCGAAUCGUGAAAUCCCCUCUCAGUUCGGACCGGAGUCUGCAACCCGACUCCGCGAAGCUGGAUUCGCUAGUAAUCGCGCAUCAGCCAUGGCGCGGUGAAUACGUUCCCGGGCCUUGUACACACCGCCCGU
rnacentral:rRNA from 1 species